rnacentral:rRNA from 1 species
AGUGAACGCUGGCGGUAGGCCUAACACAUGCAAGUCGAACGGCAGCACAGUAAGAGCUUGCUCUUACGGGUGGCGAGUGGCGGACGGGUGAGGAAUACAUCGGAAUCUACUUUUUCGUGGGGGAUAACGUAGGGAAACUUACGCUAAUACCGCAUACGACCUACGGGUGAAAGCAGGGGAUCUUCGGACCUUGCGCGAUUGAAUGAGCCGAUGUCGGAUUAGCUAGUUGGCGGGGUAAAGGCCCACCAAGGCGACGAUCCGUAGCUGGUCUGAGAGGAUGAGAAGCGAGAUGGGAGAGGAGACACGGUCCAGACUACUACGGGAGGCAGCAGUGGGGAAUAGUGGACAAUGGGCGCAAGCUUGAGCCAGCCAUACCGCGUGGGUGAAGAAGGCCUUCGGGUUGUAAAGACCUUUUGUUGGGAAAGAAAAGCAGCAGGUUAAUACCCCGCUGUUCUGACGGUACCCAAAGAAGAAGCACCGGCUAACUUCGUG